rnacentral:rRNA from 1 species
GAUGAACGCUAGCGGCAGGCCUAACACAUGCAAGUCGAGGGGUAGCAGGAUUAAGCUUGCUUAAUUGCUGACGACCGGCGCACGGGUGCGUAACGCGUAUGCAACCUACCUUAUACUGGGGUAUAGCCCGGAGAAAUUCGGAUUAAUCCGCCAUAGUACUAAUGAAUCGCAUGGUUUAUUAGUUAAGGCAUUGCGGUAUAAGAUGGGCAUGCGUCCUAUUAGCUAGAUGGUGAGGUAACGGCUCACCAUGGCUACGAUAGGUAGGGGGCCUGAGAGGGUGGUCCCCCACACUGGUACUGAGACACGGACCAGACUCCUACGGGAGGCAGCAGUGAGGAAUAUUGGUCAAUGGGCGCAAGCCUGAACCAGCCAUGCCGCGUGCAGGAAGAAUGCCCUAUGGGUUGUAAACUGCUUUUAUUUGGGAAUAAACCUCCUUACGUGUAGAGAGCUGAAGGUACCAAAUGAAUAAGCACCGGCUAACUCCGUGCCAGCCGCCGCGGUAA